UAUUUUCUUUGAAUUGUACGACAUUUCGGAAAUAACAAGCGUUUAAUAAUCAUCCAAUUUAAAACGAAAAGCGUCGGUUUUGCCACUUCAUUAUCAUUUUCUCUGGAAAGAAACAAAAUGAACAAGUCAGCACUUCUAUUGUUGCUUCUCAUCGGACUCCUCGUCCUCACCGUAACCACAGAUGCCUGGACGAUUCGUCGUCGUCGUCGUGAACAUAACCAUGGUCGUCGCAGAUGGAGCACCGAUCAAGAGCUCAUGGAAAACAUUUCAGAUGAGGGAACAGAUAUUGCUUCGCGUGAAUCCGAAGAAUAAUUGCCCAUUCGUGUACAGGGUGUAAUCGAACUAUUUAAUAAAUUUAGCAGCAUCAAAAAAUAUA